rfam:Camelus ferus isolate Naran unplaced genomic scaffold scaffold1352, whole genome shotgun sequence.
GAGGGUAUAGCUCAGUGGUAGAGUGUGUCCUUAACAUGCACAAAGUCCUGGGUUCAAUCCCCAGUACCACUA